GAUGAACGCUGGCGGUAUGCUUAACACAUGCAAGUCGAACGGAAUCUUAGGAUUCAGUGGCGGACGGGUGAGUAACGCGUGAGAAUCUAGCUUCAGGUCGGGGACAACCAUUGGAAACGGUGGCUAAUACCGGAUAUGCCGAGAGGUGAAAGGCUUGCUGCCUGAAGAUGAGCUCGCGUCUGAUUAGCUAGUAGGUGUGGUAAGAGCGCACCUAGGCGACGAUCAGUAGCUGGUCUGAGAGGAUGAUCAGCCACACUGGGACUGAGACACGGCCCAGACUCCUACGGGAGGCAGCAGUGGGGAAUUUUCCGCAAUGGGCGAAAGCCUGACGGAGCAAUACCGCGUGAGGGAGGAAGGCUCUUGGGUUGUAAACCUCUUUUCUCAGGGAAGAAAAAAAUGACGGUACCUGAGGAAUAAGCAUCGGCUAACUCCGUGCCAGCAGCCGCGGUAAUACGGAGGAUGCAAGCGUUAUCCGGAAUGAUUGGGCAUAAAGGGUCCGCAGGUGGCUGUGUAAGUCUGCUGUUAAAGAAUGAGGCUCAACCUCAUCAAAGCAGUGGAAACUACAUAGCUAGAGUGCGUUCGGGGUAGAGGGAAUUCCUGGUGUAGCGGUGAAAUGCGUAGAUAUCAGGAAGAACACCAGUGGCGAAAGCGCUCUACUAGGCCGCAACUGACACUGAGGGACGAAAGCUAGGGGAGCGAAUGGGAUUAGAUACCCCAGUAGUCCUAGCCGUAAACGAUGGAUACUAGGCGUGGCUUGUAUCGACCCGAGCCGUGCCGGAGCUAACGCGUUAAGUAUCCCGCCUGGGGAGUACGCACGCAAGUGUGAAACUCAAAGGAAUUGACGGGGGCCCGCACAAGCGGUGGAGUAUGUGGUUUAAUUCGAUGCAACGCGAAGAACCUUACCAAGACUUGACAUGUCGCGAAUCUGCCUGAAAGGGGAGAGUGCCUUCGGGAGCGCGAACACAGGUGGUGCAUGGCUGUCGUCAGCUCGUGUCGUGAGAUGUUGGGUUAAGUCCCGCAACGAGCGCAACCCUCGUUUUUAGUUGCCAGCAUUAGGUUGGGCACUCUAGAGAGACUGCCGGUGACAAACCGGAGGAAGGUGGGGAUGACGUCAAGUCAGCAUGCCCCUUACGUCUUGGGCUACACACGUACUACAAUGCUACGGACAAAGGGCAGCGACACAGCGAUGUGAAGCAAAUCUCAGAAACCGUAGCUCAGUUCAGAUCGCAGGCUGCAACUCGCCUGCGUGAAGGAGGAAUCGCUAGUAAUUGCAGGUCAGCAUACUGCAGUGAAUUCGUUCCCGGGCCUUGUACACACCGCCCGUCACACCAUGGAAGCUGGUCACGCCCGAAGUCGUUACCCCAACUUUUAGGAGAGGGGGAUGCCGAAGGCAGGACUGGUGACAGGGGUGAAGUCGUAACAAGGUAGCCGUACCGGAAGGUGUGGCUGGAUCACCUCCUUUUAGGGAGACCUAUACCCCUCAGACAUCGAAAGCAAACAGUUAAUAGAGACUGAGAUGGUCAUUCCUAGGUCGGUGGCGAAAAUUGGCUGUGCUUUCAAACUAUAUUUUGGGUUUGGAUAAUGGGCUAUUAGCUCAGGUGGUUAGAGCGCACCCCUGAUAAGGGUGAGGUCCCUGGUUCGAGUCCAGGAUGGCCCACCUGAAAUUAAUUAGUAGUUGCGAAUUCGUAAUUCGUAAUUAAUUAUGAACUACGAACUAGAAAUUACGAAUUAUAUUGAUGGGGGUUUAGCUCAGUUGGUAGAGCGCCUGCUUUGCAAGCAGGAUGUCAGCGGUUCGAGUCCGCUAAUCUCCACCUUAUUGUGUAAGAAUCACAAAAGAAAAUCAUGUAGAUUGUCAAACAAGACAAGAAAUAGACACGAUAGAAUUGUGAUGAACAACGCAAUGUUAUAGGAUAAUAGACCGGGAAACAAAUUCAGCAACAUGGCGAAGAGCCAGACUGCUGGGUGAGAAUCCAGCCAGAACCUUGAAAACUGCAUAGUAACGCGAAAGCAGGCAGACACAGACAGAGAUGAAAGUGUGUGCGUGGAAGAAAACCAAAUGUAUUGUGGUCAAGCUAAUAAGGGCUGACGGUGGAU
rnacentral:rRNA from 1 species